GCUAUCUACAGGCUUAACACAUGCAAGUCGAGGGGCAGCAUGGUCUUAGCUUGCUAAGGCCGAUGGCGACCGGCGCACGGGUGAGUAACACGUAUCCAACCUGCCGUCUACUCUUGGACAGCCUUCUGAAAGGAAGAUUAAUACAAGAUGGCAUCAUGAGUCCGCAUGUUCACAUGAUUAAAGGUAUUCCGGUAGACGAUGGGGAUGCGUUCCAUUAGAUAGUAGGCGGGGUAACGGCCCACCUAGUCUUCGAUGGAUAGGGGUUCUGAGAGGAAGGUCCCCCACAUUGGAACUGAGACACGGUCCAAACUCCUACGGGAGGCAGCAGUGAGGAAUAUUGGUCAAUGGGCGAGAGCCUGAACCAGCCAAGUAGCGUGAAGGAUGACUGCCCUAUGGGUUGUAAACUUCUUUUAUAAAGGAAUAAAGUCGGGUAUGGAUACCCGUUUGCAUGUACUUUAUGAAUAAGGAUCGGCUAACUCCGUGCCAGCAGCCGCGGUAAUACGGAGGAUCCGAGCGUUAUCCGGAUUUAUUGGGUUUAAAGGGAGCGUAGAUGGAUGUUUAAGUCAGUUGUGAAAGUUUGCGGCUCAACCGUAAAAUUGCAGUUGAUACUGGAUAUCUUGAGUGCAGUUGAGGCAGGCGGAAUUCGUGGUGUAGCGGUGAAAUGCUUAGAUAUCACGAAGAACUCCGAUUGCGAAGGCAGCCUGCUAAGCUGCAACUGACAUUGAGGCUCGAAAGUGUGGGUAUCAAACAGGAUUAGAUACCCUGGUAGUCCACACGGUAAACGAUGAAUACUCGCUGUUUGCGAUAUACUGCAAGCGGCCAAGCGAAAGCGUUAAGUAUUCCACCUGGGGAGUACGCCGGCAACGGUGAAACUCAAAGGAAUUGACGGGGGCCCGCACAAGCGGAGGAAUAUGUGGUUUAAUUCGAUGAUACGCGAGGAACCUUACCCGGGCUUAAAUUGCAGAUGAAUUACGGUGAAAGCCGUAAGCCGCAAGGCAUCUGUGAAGGUGCUGCAUGGUUGUCGUCAGCUCGUGCCGUGAGGUGUCGGCUUAAGUGCCAUAACGAGCGCAACCCUUGUUGUCAGUUACUAACAGGUUCCGCUGAGGACUCUGACAAGACUGCCAUCGUAAGAUGUGAGGAAGGUGGGGAUGACGUCAAAUCAGCACGGCCCUUACGUCCGGGGCUACACACGUGUUACAAUGGGGGGUACAGAGGGCCGCUACCACGCGAGUGGAUGCCAAUCCCCAAAACCUCUCUCAGUUCGGACUGGAGUCUGCAACCCGACUCCACGAAGCUGGAUUCGCUAGUAAUCGCGCAUCAGCCACGGCGCGGUGAAUACGUUCCCGGGCCUUGUACACACCGCCCGUCAAGCCAUGGGAGCCGGGGGUACCUGAAGUGCGUAACCGCGAGGAGCGCCCUAGGGUAAAACUGGUGACUGGGGCUA
rnacentral:rRNA from 1 species